UCCGGUUUGGCACCGGCAGUCUCCGAUGAGUCCCCGGCAUCACCCGCUGGCAACAUCGGACAGGGGUUGCGCUCGUUGCGCCACUUAAGGCAACACCUCACGGCACGAGCUGACGACAGCCAUGCAGCACCUGUGCGGGCUCCCGAAGGAGGACCGGCUUUCACCGGCUUCACCCCGCAUGUCAAGCCCUGGUAAGGUGGGGAUGACGUUAGGAUAG
rnacentral:misc_RNA from 1 species